GGAGAGGUGCCAGAGUGGCCGAAUGGGACGCACUCGAAAUGCGUUGACCCUUUGCGGGGUCCGAGGGUUCGAAUCCCUCCCUCUCCGCCA
rnacentral:tRNA from 4 species